GACAGAGGAGCCAAGCGUUGUCCGGAUUGACUGGGCGUAAAGCGCACGCAGGUGGUGGGGCAAGUGCCGUGUGAAAGCCGGUGGCUUAACUGCCGGAGGCCACAGCAGACUGCCUGACUUGAGCCCGAGAGAGGUCCGUGGAAUUGCCGGUGUAGUGGUGAAAUGCGUAGAUAUCGGGAGGAACACCAGUGGCGAAGGCGACUUCCUGGCCUGUUCUUGACGCUGAGGCGCGAAAGCUAGGGUAGCAAACGGG
rnacentral:rRNA from 1 species